CAAUUGGUAUUGCUUUGAAUCCACUAUUGAGUCGAUGCUGCGGGGUUGGUGGGCGAUUCUAAGACCGAGGCCAAAUCCACCCAAAUAUUAAAACAAAGGCAGCUGCCUGCCCUCCUCACUUUCUACAUACCCCCUCAGUCAAAAUUUGCAAGUGGCAGACAACACUUCUCUGUUGUUUCUUUUGCUUUGAUUCAUAGGACUGCCAUGGGGAACAGCGGUUGCCGUGGGCGGUCCUGCUGUUGCAUUAGGUGGGCUUUCCUUAUUGUUUCUGAAAGCAUAUGCUGAUGAUCAGAGGAGGAAGUCGUCUUCCAACCUUCCGCUGGUCCCUGAGGUACCGGGGCUACCGUUGAUUGGGAAUUUGCUGCAGCUGAAGGAGAAAAAGCCCCACAGGACUUUUGCUAGAUGGGCUGAGACUUGCGGACUAUCCAAACUGGUGCCAACAAAAUUGUUGUCCUCAACUCUAAUGAUGUUGCUAAGGAGCAAUGAUUGUGGUGUAUACGUUAUUAACUUCAUGAAGUCAUCUGAAGUGGAACAAAUGAGUUCAAUCAUGUUUCACUCCGAGACUGAACGUUUUAACAUUGCAAUGGAAUUGGUCCCUACACCCUAAGAAUGCAUGGGGAUUUCUUCUAGAAGAUCAUUUGCAGAGAGAUGAACAAUGAAAGUAUUCAUAGUUGAAAAAAAUUCUAAUUUAUCUUUGCUAUUUCUAGCUGAAUAACAAGUACCUAGUAAGGCAGAAGAACGUUUCAAGUCUUGUUGCCACUUUAUUUUAUGGGCCCUUAAUUUUGACGUGUACACAAACUUGCCAUGGACUGCAGUCAAAGCACUACUGCUUGGUUCUAAGCUCAAACUGCUCCUUUUAGC